rnacentral:lncRNA from 1 species
GGAAGGAGCUGAUACCAGCUGCGUGUUGGAGAAUCCCAUGUCACUUCAGCCUAAUGUGGUGAGAGAUUGUCAACUGCUCCCAAGCAGCAUGGGAGGGGAAGGCAGGAAGACAGAAACGAUCUGAAAUGGCUGCUACCAUCGUCCACAGGCCCCCCUUGUCCUUUACUUACUCAUUAACCGAACAUGUGCUAAGGGCCUGAAGUGUGUCACCUGUACUGGUGCCUAACUUACAAAGGUUGGAGAAAAAGUGGCCUCUGACUUACAGACUCUCGCAGUCUGCCAAGAACUCAGCUCACUGCCAAUUACAUUAACAUAAGCACCCACUGAGGGCCAGGCAACCCCAAGAGGCCCAGGGUAGCCAGAGGAGAUGAUAUUUCAGUUGAACCUUGAAGGAAUACCAGAAUUUCAUUAAGGAGACAAGUGGUUCAGAGAACAACUUCAGCUGUGUCUAAAAGCCUUACUUUCUAGAAUUCCAUCUUCCACAAGGCAUGCCUUCCUAAUCAAUAUUUUAAGAUUUUUUUUAAUUGUUCUGUGACUCCAUGAUGAAGAGUCUAAUGCAUCCUCUUUACUUUAUCUCCAAGUCUUAUUGGUCUUGUUAUGUUUAUGCCAUAAACCUAUCUGAGAAGGGACUAUUUGUCCAGUAUUCUUGCUUUUCUUUGUAGAUCCAAAAGAAUGGGUGAUAUACUGUGGUUGGCAACCCUUCUUUAAUUUUCUAACCAAUCAGGUAAAAUCUGGAGUCAAAUUGCCCUAGACUAGGCAAUGGGGCUUAGAAUGGUGCCAGAUGUUCUUCCUGUCAUACACUGGGAACGUCUGCUGGUAGAGAUCGAGAACUGUCACUUGUGUGUGUCUCUUCACACUCAUGUGCAUGCAGUAUGUGUUACAUAUGUCGUGCAUGUCCAUGUGUUCUGGGGAUACCUCAGUGUCUUAGGAGUUCUACAGUUUUCAUAUUUGAUACAAUCCAUGGUAUCUGCUUGUACUCAAGAAGCCCUGAGGAGUAGAUUUAUUAAUGUAUUCAUUUAUUUAGAAAUGAAGCUAAGCAAUUUCAGUUUAUCCACAUAUUCUAUUGUCUUCUAGGGGACCAUAACCUCAGAACACCUUCAGUUUGUAUCUCACAGCAUUUUACCACUGAGAAGAGGAUGUACGUGGGAUCUUUGUCCCCUUUCUUUUUCUUGGUCUGAAUGGACAUUACAAUUCUUCCUUUAGUGGGAACCAACCCUGCAAAGACUGUUGGUCAUUUCAGAACAACUUCCUGAUCCCUCUCCAAACCAACACCUAGGGCUAGAGCUUGACAUUUAGAGGGCUGGGGGCACUCCUCUAAUCUCUCUGCAAUCUGGUGUCUUCACUGUGGAACCCCAGUAAGGGCUACUCUUUGACUGGUUGUGGGAUGGACAUGUUUGUCCAAAAGGAAGAUGUCCACCUCCACAAUACAAAGAAAUGGAAGCCUGGGACCUGAGCUUUGAAGUCUUAGUACUCAGAUAAAAUAGGUUGCUUAUACUCAGCUUCCUGCUCUACAUCUGUAAAAAGGAAAUAAUAUUCCUCUUCAUGCUCCCUGUACCACCUCAAACCAAUCUCCAAAGAAAUGAGAGAACCUCUUAUUCUAUUCAAAACCUAGAAAUAGCCAUAGCUUCCAUUACAACCCAUUCCUUGCACAGAGGCAGGCAUGGAACGGUAGAAUUGAGAAUGAAUAAAUGAGUGUUUUCAUUAGAAGCUAAUAUAUGGCUAACUGUAUGCCUGUGGACAUAUUUGAUUGGUGAUAUUUGAAGAAUUAUAUAUAUUUAUAAUUUAAAAUAAAUCGAUGUUUUUGAUCAUCACAUGGGGUUGCCACCUAUAGAGGCAGAGAACCUUGAAAUAUAUCUAUGUGGCUACUUUGGAGGCUCUCAGGAUUUGAUGGCAUAAAACUGAAACUUAGGCUAUCAUUACAGAAGGCUAGGGAGGGAGUUCUUUGAUGAAAAAGCAUUUUACAAAGUCAAAAUAAAAUAUUAUUAUUCAUUAAUUAUGACAGCAAAACUGUUGUAACCUGGCCCAGUCAUCUCUUCUUGGGAAAAGCAUUUUGCUUUAGUCUCUGCUUGCUCAUAUAAUGGGGUGUUAACACCUUCCCAACAUACUUCACGGGAAAACCAAACGAGGUUUCUGGUUCUCUGUCUUUCUCUUCUGGAGCAGGCAAAAAUCUCUUCCAUCAUUUGGUCCCUGUGGUAUUUUGAUCAACCUUCCUCUGGAGCCUGGGUUUCCAUUUCUCCCUGGGCUGCUGAUGUUGGCUGGCCUUGUUCCCUCGUUACUAGAGUGUAAGUUACCUUUAUUUACAGGACAGGCUCCUUCCUCUCACUUAGGGAGCAAAGAGCAGAGCUGGAGUCAGCAUACUUGGGAAUACAGAAUCAGAAUGGAAUUCUGCUCUAUAAUCCAGGCAGGCUGUUUCCUCGAGGAUACCACUGUGGGAUGCCUUAUCUGCUGUGUGAAGUGGGGGAAUUAAACAAGAUGGCCUAUGGGGUGUGUCAAGCCCUCAGGGAGCUCGGUGAGCCUUAGGCUUCUUUCCUUCAGUUCUGUGCUGGGACUUCAGUGAAUUGUGAAGAUGAGGAGGAAACCCAAUCUUUCCCUCACCUCCUCUUCUAGUUAAGAAAGAUGGCCCUGCCCUCAGAAUUAUAAUGAAAUCUUAAAAACUGCAAUUUUAUGUGUGGAUAUAAAGUUAUUUUGAAGAUUACAGGCGACAUAAUGCAGAUUUUAUGAAGUUGCCAUUAUCCUUGUCAGUGAAAUUAGUGCAUUUUUCUAAUCGGGAUCUUCUGCCAUUAUAAACAACGUGGAAAUAACUCAUGCUGUUAUAUGAAACAUCUUAUAAAUUUUUACAUACAUGUGAGAGGAAUCACUUGAAAUCCAAAGCUGCCAAGAGGAAUAAUUAGGAGUCACAGAACAGAUCUCAGUAAUGUGACAGCAGCUUCUAAAACAUCCCACAGGACGGAGAAGCACAAGCUGGCUUGACCUAUAUGUUUAAUAAUACAGAUCAUUGCCCUUGGAUUGAAGCUAAAGGGUAGCACCAAGUGCUUGCUUCAUCAUGUUUUAGGAAAAAAAUUGCCCAAGUUUAUUUAUGAAUUCACCACACAAUGGCCUCUUGCUUUGAUUAGGAACCGGCAGAGCUCUCUAAGUAGCAACUCAGCAUGCAAAAUUAAAAACAAAAAAACAAAACCACCACAGAGCAUCAUUUCUUAUAUUCUGUCAUGCUUGGCAAAAGUAUUAUGUAAGGCCCAACUUAGACAAAUGGCUAUGUUAACAGUAGAAAUAACCUUUUGUUUAAUUAGAAAAUAGGAGCUAUAUGGGACAAUAAAAAUGGUUACUGCUGCCCUCCGUCACUGUUUAAUAAAUACGAUCGUGCUAGAGAUAAUGGUAAGUGUUAUUUAUUUGUGCAAUAUCACAGACUUGGUAAUUGUUCACGUUGUUCAGAGUUAUCCUGUGUGGAGAUCACAGGAGUUUCAGAAUUCGUUUCCUUUGAUCCUAGAAAAGAAAAUAGCAAGUUGUUUACUUACAAUGUGCCGGCCUCCCUAGGCCACAGUAUGGUAUCUGUGUAUUUUUAGCCUCUCUAUUGCAAGGGCAAAAAUCUCCCUGGCAUUGUCUGGAGUGUAUUGAGAACUGGUGGGCUAUUUUGAACUGGCUCUUUUUCGUCCAGAGUGCCCUCAGGUCCUUGUGGAACAUCCUUCUCAGAGAUACCGCUCCUGUUCAGUUCAGUUCAGCACAACUAAAUUUAGUAGCCUUGCCGGAGGGAAGAAAUGGGGCAAAGUCUCCCACCUGAGGAUGUGCACAUGGACGAGGAACAUCUCCCUGAUGGUCCCUCUUGGGAGCCAGCACGUGGGAUCAGGACCAGACUGAAGUUCACAGCAUCUGUUUCAGUGUCUUCCCCGGGUGCAGGGGGUUGGGUGGGGAAUAAAGGCUGGAGGUAUUGGCUGGAUCUCAGGGUCAGUUCCAUUUUGUGUCUCACUGUGAACACUCCAGCUGUGUGUCUGGAUGUGGACUUUGGGUCAGCUGGCUAGAUUUAUGUCACUGAAUUGUCCUCCCCGUGGCAGUUCAUUCUGGUUUCUUUUGGGGGUGGGGGUGGUAUUCUGUUUUCACUUGUGCGUGUUUGCUACGGUAGAUGCUCCAUUUCUGCCUUUUGUGGUUUGUCAUGUUGGAUGAUUUACUUUUUAUUAUGGAGACUUAGGGAUUUUUUUCACUCGACUUUGGUGAAUGGGGAGAUAGCGCCUCAGACCCUGAGCUGGCAUUAGGCUCGUCUCAUCCAGAGAAAUCCACAGAAAGGAGAUAUGGCGCAGAUUUGUAUCCAAGUAUUUUGUGCAACCACCUAUUUCUGUGUGUCCUAAAUAGCCCUUUCUAGAAGGUUUCCACAUGCUUCCUUUAUAAAAAUAUAGACAGUGUGUCAAAGGGAAAACACCACACAACAAAAUCCCUUUUCUUCACACAAUUCAUUUUAAGCUCCAAAAUCCCUGAAAAUCCCCAAUCUCCUUUUGCAGUCUGGUUCCCACUCUCUAACUUUCCUCAUCUCCCCCUGAAAGAAAGAAGAAAGCGUUUCUUCCAAGGCUGAUAAGUUGUGGGCCGAUGCUUAGCAACAGCAUUCUUGCGCUUUAAGUAGCUGAAGGCCCUUGCUGAACCCUUUGAUGUGACUGUCAGGGCAGAUUUAUUUUGUUUUAGCACAUUGUCUACUUGUCCAGAUGUAUCAGGAGAUAAAAAGGAGUCAUGUUUACACUCCUCCCUUUUUCUUUUUUUUCGGAGAUGUAAUUAAAUCGUGUUUUUGAUGAGUCUUGGGGAGCUCCAGUUGAAGAAAACAGGAAUUGGCUGGAGUAAAGGGGAAAAUGGAGACUGGCCGGCGGAAUGAACACCUGACUCUGUUAGAAAAUAAAGCCCAAGGACCAGCUGGCUUGGUUCUGGGAAGCUGGAGGUUUUGUUCCAAGCCUUUUGUCCCUCUUCUAUGAAGUUCAACCAAGAAGGGGAGGUGUCCCUGGCCCUAGUUUCUUCUUGCUUACUGUAGGCAGGCUCACACAGGCCUUGGCUCCCUCCUUCCUUCCCUCGUUCCCUGCCUUCCCCUCUCUCUCCAUCCCUCAAUCCCAUGCUCCCUCUUAUUCUGUCAUUUACUGCGGAGAACGUCUGUGAUAGUUGUCAAUCACUCCAGUGAUCUUGAAUCGCCCCGUCUUCCCCGAGGUGAGCUGAGUUCUCUUGCAGUGUGAUUGCUACCCCUUUCCUUUUUUUUUUUAAUUUUUUUUUUUUUUUAUUUUAGUGAGCUGUAUUUUUAACGUAAACAUUUGGCAACACUGUUCCGAGUUCACUUAAUGACCUGUGGGUGAGCAGUGACAAGCAGAAUCCAACGUUCAGUACUGCUGAGGACCUGCCAGGCAGCGGCUACCACGUUAGCUCUCAUCUGCAGCAGGGGAAGCACUCUAUUUGCAUUCUAAAUAGGUUACACUACAGCGCCCCCUUCUGCCCACUAAGGUGUGUGACAGGAGGGUCCGCUAUGCUCAGUUUCUCCCCUGAUGACAGACAUCCCUCAAGACCCUUCAUGCAACUUUCUCGAACCUGCGCAGCCCUUCCCCCUGGUCUCUGCAGAAGUAGGACAGUGACUAACAGGUGUUCCCCGUCUUCUGGGCUCUUCAUUUGGAUUGACAUUUUUAUCACUCAUGCAUCAAAAAUCAUACAUGGAAGAAGAGGGAGAUAUGGGUAUAACAAAAGGAAAGCCACUUGACCCCCAAACCCCAGACAGACGUCACUUAAUGCCAUUGGGAAAUGCAUGCUCAGGUUUUGUGUUAUCGCCCGUGGUCCAUGCCACUGUGCAGGAGGGACAUAUUCCUUUGCUUGCUCUGAACAGCCUGUGGAUGUCCCCCUCUGGCAAAGUGCACCUUUGUCCUCUCACACAUGUGGAGUGGUGGAGUUAGGGGCCCGUGUGUGCCAUUUUUCAACAUCUCCGUGCGCUGUUUGUCGGGGAGAAGGUCCCUUCAGAAGGCAGUGGGUGACUCAGAAGUCUGAAGACACAAAGACUCUUUGUUACCCUCAACCCUCCCUCACAGGCUCAGGAAUGCUGCUCGUUCAGUUUCUCAUUAAUUUAUUUUACCAACUGACAAGUAUUUAUUGAGAAACUACUGCGAGCCAUCUUUCAGGGGGUGUGGGACACUGCCCUCAAGGUACAAACUGUCCCGAGAGGGGAACAUCAUUGGGCAGAAAAUGACAGGGAAGGGAGUUAGGGAGGCAAACUGGAACUCCUGUGUGGAUCAGGCACAGCACCUGGGGGGAGCAGAAAGGUCACUCAUGUGCUGGCAGGCAGGGGAGGAGUGGGGUGGGGGACAAAGCAGGAGAUGGGCAUGAGAGGAAUCAAGGGCCAGGGCAAAGGGCCAUCUUGGCCAUGUUUGGAGGUUUCUGCUCAUCCCCAAAAUGUACCUUAUUUUUCAAGCAGAGGAGAAAUGAAACUGAUUUCAAUUUUUUUUCUUUUCUCCCCUCUCUUUCUCAUACCCAGGGACACUCUACCACUGAGCCACAUCUUUUGCCUUUUUUAUUUUUGUUUGAUUUUUUUUUUAAAUGGUCUCACUAAGUUGUCCAGUCUGGCCUUAAACUUGUAAUCCUCCUGCCUCAACCUCUUAGAUCAUGGAGAUAUCAGGGCUGUGCCACCGUGUCGGCAGAUUUCUGAUUUUAAAAGUGCAAUCUAAGGAUAAUCGUUUCAGGUAGGAUAUUAUGGGGCUGGGCCAGGAAUUGAGCCCUCUCUAGAGCAAAUUCACCACAUUGACUAACAUCUACAGUGAUUCUCUGGUAAAGGAGGGGAGGAGAAGAAAUAGGGCUGAUUUUAGAAAACAUAGUGGAAUUUCCUUCAUACCAGCCAAAGAGAAGGCUCAAUUCCCCAGGGAACCUUUCUCAGGUCCUUUAGCUCUUGGUCCUUUGUGACCACCCAGAUAGUGUGUCUUGAUGGUCUUUCUUGCACCUGUGCCUCUUUCAGCCCCUCUGUGCCCUGGUUGUGAAUGUGCCCUUGCAGGAUAAACCCAGCGGCAGAAGGCAGACCUGAUUUCCAGGGCCAUGUUGACCUUUCAGAAUCUGGGAAUCCUAUGGGUGGGCAAGAGGAGGCCAGGCUUGCAGUACAUCCGGGGACCUUCUGUGUUAUUACUGGUACAAAAUACAGUUGAUGGGGUCAGGGAGAAUGUCGGAAAAUAGUUUUGCGGAUGGGAAGUCUUUUGAAAAAUAACUCCAAACAUCUUCCCCUCUUCUUGUCCCCUCCUGUCUUCUCUCCCCACUGCUUGUCUAUCCUUCUUAAUUUUUGGCCUUGAGACUGUCCUAAGCACUCCAUAUACCCUCCUAGGGAUUCACUGCAGCAAAAUGGUCUGUGCCUUAUUUGAGUCCUUCCAAACCAUAAUGUGUUUGAGGAGUUGAAGAUUUCAGGGCCACGUGGUAGAGUUUCUUGAGGAAAUAAAUAGCUUCGAGUUGAGUUUGCAUUUUCCUCCAGUCUCACAGACAGUAAGGUGGCUAGAAUGGUUGGAAAGGUUGCUCAGGGCACAAGACUUCCUGAAGCUGAUAUUUGGUCACUUCUCUUAUAGUGUGCAUCAGUGUGGAUCUGGAAUCUCUCAAGGAAAUGGCUUUACACAAGUAUGUUGGCUAUAUGCAACCUGUGAUGUCAGCAAUUAUUGAUAAUAUAACACAAAUCUAAAAAGGCCUCUUUUGAGAACUGCUUUGUGAAUGAUUGUUGGAUAAGUUUGAAAAAAGAACAAAAUAAAGGAGAAAAGGUGUUUUGGGGACUAUUUCUCCACACAAGUUUUCAUAAAAUCACUUUCCACCAUUUUUCUUGACUCCAUUUGGCUUUCUCUGUGGAUCUUGUACUAAUAAAAGCAUGAGUAUUGUGAAAAAUUCGUGUUUCAUAAUGUAGGGUCCUUACCUAGAAAAGUCAAAGAUAAAAGUCUAGAUAAAAGCUUAUCUAGAAAAUUUCACAAACUAGGGAUUGACAUUAACUUUACAAAAGAAGACUGAGUGUGUCUGGGACUUGGUGGCUUUAUAACCUCGCCUCAAGUGCGUGCAUACGCACACUGGCAGACCACAGUCCUUCCAGGAUAGUAGGCCUCGGCAUCCAUGCUGCCUGGUUCUUCAGAUUUGCCAUCUUCCUGUAGAUAGCCCAGGGGGCAGCUCGGGUCCAGGAGGGUUUCAGCAGCCUGACGACAUUUGUUCCUCUCCCACUUGGGUUGCCGUAGCAGGUGUUGAGUUGCUAAGCAGAGACUUUUGCCUACCUCCUUUGGGCCUCUAUGGAGAUAUAAACCUCAGGUGUCACAGCCAGCACUGAAUCUGCUGGGAUCCCAUUUUGACAUCCUCACUCACGUGACACAGAUCUUCAGGGAAUCCCUUAAACUGCCCAGGACACAUGGUCCUUGAGUAUGAAGACAGUAACGAAGGUGGGUUUUUGGUUUUGUUAAGGCAAACAUUCUCAGCAUCUCUUUUGGAAAUAGACUUGAGAGGAAGAAGAGGGGCUGAGUGGCAGCAAAGUGCCUUUGGAAAACAAGAGACAUUAGAAUUCAUAUCCCCAGACAUCUGAGGUUUACAUAGAUCAUGAUCAGAACUUCUUAGGAUGUUGUUCCCAGAGGAGUGGCUCGUGCUGUUCCUUGGAACCAGUCACCUGUUCUCUUGUGGUGUUAUCAGUCCCAUGUGCAGUCGAAAUGGCAAAUGCAGUCUCCCUCAGAGACAGACGCCAGUCACCGCUCUAUGCAGGCUCGUUAAUAACUAAAAAUGCUAUGUAAUUCCUGACUUGUGCAAGAAACAUGAAACUGGGUCUCACUUUCUCCUGUUGACACGCGUGUGGAGGUGGGUUGGGCGUCGUCAUUCCAAAGGUCUAUUGUGAUGUCUGCUGGCUUCGUUUUUAUUUUGUGGUUUCUCUUUUCCAUGUUGCACUGUGACCCCAGCAGCUGUCCUUGCCUGUCACCACUCUUGUUGCUCUCUUUGGACACCUGUUACUAUUUUUAAUCUUCUGUGAUACCUAAGCUUAUUAAAAAUGUAAUUGUAUGCUAGAGCUGUUUGGGUCCCAGCUAAGAGCCUGAAAAGUGUAAGAUACUCACAAGAAUUUGGGGGGGGGAGGAUUUUUCUGGAUGUGGAGACUCUUUGUUGAUGAGGAUAUAGACUUGGGACUGGGCUGUUGAAUAGCAGGUUCACUGUGGCUCCGGAGAUGGUGCUGAGAGUCAGGAUGUCUGGGAUGGAGCUAGGGGCUCCAAAAGUCUGAUAAAAAUUGUUGUCUGCUAAUGAAGGGAAUUUUCUCUUUGGGUCUCUUUAGUGUCCAUUCCACUGGGCCUUAGAGUAGAUACAUGUACCCCCUGGGAAAUUGUUACCCUGUUGCUUUUGUCAGCAGGAUCUUUGAGGUACCAGCUACUCUCCUGGCACUAGGUGUAGACAUAGUACCCAGGAUCAACUGGACAGAACAUUCUUUUUCCUUGAUAGGGAGACUCUUUCAGGGAUGGGCCUAUGACUCGGUCCAGGCCAAGGAUUCCUAGACUUUGCUAGAAAGUUUCAGGAAAGAGAAGGAUCUUUGAUGAUAGUAACACAAGAAUCUGGAACUCCUGGAGGUCACCACAUUAAAGAUUUACAAAGAAACAAAGCUAAGAGAGAGAAACUCCUGAUAAUAAAUUUGAGUACCCGGAUCCAACCAUACCUGAAACUGUAUAGUCUUGGACUCAUUAAAACUUCUCCCUCUCAAUUUAUUUCCCUAAAGUACUUUGAAUUAAAUUUUAUUACAUACAAUUAAAAGGAAAAGUUGGGUCUUUUUCCCCUCUCGAAUUGUUCAAAAAGGGGCCUUCUACAAACUAUCCUAAAAAUGUGGUAAAUGGUCCCCGUAGCAUCCGAUCAAUAGUUCUUAGUUAUGUUUUUCUUUAAUUUUAUUUUCUAACAAUCUAUUAUGUGAGUAGCAAACUAAUUCCACCCCCCCCCCCAUAUAAAACCCUUAAAAUCCUCAAGAACCUAACUGAUUGGCCUUCUCUUUAUCAAGACACCUUCAUGUGCAUGACCAUUGAUGGUCCCUUCAGCCUUUGUGUUAAGUAUUUCUUUGAGUCAGUCCUGCUGUCUGGUCUUUAAAGACUGAGAUGGCUGGUGAUGGCCCUGACCAGUGAGCCGCACUGCUGCUUUUCACCUACCUUCAGGAAAAACCCCUCUGGCUUUUCCCAAAACCCCUUUCACAGAGAUGAGUAAGUACCGUUAUUCCAGAACUGGAGAAGAUUCCAGUAGAAGUGGCCAGUGGAAACCCGGGCCCCUGUCUGCAGUCGCCUUUGGUCUGUACCAGAGAGUGGAGCUGCUGUGACUCAUCUCCCUACAGCUCUCCCCCCGCCCCACCCCGGCCCCACCAGGGAUGAAAGACCACACUGAGCAUCUUGCUCUCCUCAUUCUCUUCUUCCUACCCCCUAUCCCCACAGCUGUCUGAAUCUCCAAGUGACUGCGCCAGUGAAGACAUAGGAAGGGAAAACAUAUAUAAUUUUGGAGUCAGUUGGCCUGGCGGAUGUACACAUUGGCAGUUAGAGAAGCUAGUGUGUGCCUUCUCUGCCAUCUCAAGCUCCGCAGCCCAACAAAUCAAUUCAGCCUUCAGAGCCGCAUCCAUUGCUUUGUGAUUAUGUUUGUGUAAAGUCUUGGGGUCUUUGAUCAAAGAAUGGCAUUUCAGGCCAGGCCCUAAUCCUUAGUGCCUUAAGAUGUUUAAAUGGGUUUAAAAAAAAAAGUUGAUAACAGCUGGGAUUUAAAUUUGCCUUUGCCCAGCUUUUGUUUUGAAAGGGCUUCUAUUAUCCGUGGCUUCCCUUUUGGAGGCAAAGAUGGAUCGUUGGGUAAACCGAAAAGGGAAAGAGGAUAUGGGAGGAAAUGGGCGGAGACUCUGAAUUAAUCUUCUGGGGAAGAAUGUUUGAUCAGCGGGGAGGAUGGAAACCUUGGAUGCUGACAGCAGGCACCUUUCUGACAGGGUGUGAUUGGCACCUUUGAAGCUUCGGUGGGAGCCAGUGUCCAGUGGGUGGGAGCUUCCUCUGUCUGUGGGUGGUGGUGUUAAUAAUGUGGCAACUGGAAGGAUUAAUUGCGGACAAGCAGCGGGAUUAUGAGGAGGGCUCCUGAGCUCUAAAGGAACAGUUCGAGGCAAGCCUCUGAUCUGUCAGCCUUAGAGGAAAUUAGUGGGAGCAGGCUUAGGGGGAAAAAAAGGCAUUUAGGAUAUUAAAGCGAAAUGUAAAGAGGAUAUUGAAAUAGGGCGAAAGGGCAAGGAGCGCUGAUCUCAAAAGGCAGCAUCCCCUCUUCCUACCAGGAAUCUGUGAGGUUCCUCCAGACUUCACGGACACCUUUUCACGGUCCAACUGAGUGAUUUUUUUUUUUCGAGUCUUGCAACAAGUUAGGAGGGAAGGGUUAGGCUGGGCUCUCAGUGGUACCCAAGUUCACGUGAGAAACUUGCCUCCUUUGCACUGCCUGGUGGUUUCAGAAUGUCCCGAGACUCAGGCUCCUGGUAGAAUUUUAAACCAAGUCAGAGCAUUACUGACACCCUAUCUGCAUUAGCUAUCUAUUGUAUAUUUUACUUCUUACCCUUCUGGUUCAAGUCGGGAUGUUGCCAAUAAAUCCUGUGUUACCAUUAAAGAGGCCAUUCAUCACACUUCCUAAUGUGAUUAAUCAAGAUACACCACAGUACCCUUAAAAUGAGAUCAUUUUGAUAAAUCAUGUAUGACAUGAAAAGACUUUAUUCCUUUUAAGUGCAAUUUAGACUGUAAUUUUUUUCCUCAUUUAUGAUUCAUGGGAGAAACAUGGAUAAAAUUCCCUUGCACAGUUACACCUUAUCUACAGCAAUAACUCAAAACUGCUUUUAGAUGAAAAUUCAGGGUCUUAUUCACCAAAGCUGAAUGCCAGCUCAUUAUUUUCUAUCGUUCGGUAGUCCAAAAAUAAUGUCCGCACAUUAAGCGGCAUUCUCCAAAAGUUGGAAUUGGCCAGGAACCAGGCACAUCAAUUACACUCCAUAAUCCUUAAUAAGGAAGCAAUAUCAGAUGUCCUCUUGGAGGCUUUUUCUUUUUUUUUUUUUUCUUUUCUUUUUUUUGAAUCAGUGACGCUCAGCCUUCACCUCCCUGACUUAGCAUGAUUUAGAAACAAAAAUUGGAGGAACAUUAAUGUAUGAGAAUUUCAGUUGCUUUUACCUGACUCUGCUCUUGUUGCACAAGCCUCAAAAGAGGUAGGUUCCCCCUCCCGCAGGGUCUGAACUUUCUUUCCCAUUUCCCCUUUUCCUCGUUUCGCCAAAGAAACUCCCAUUUCGCUCCAUCUGAGUUUCGUUUCUUAGCCGUCGUGUCUGUGAUGCGGGUACAGCUGUCACAAUAAUUUGGGAAAUGAUAUUCAUAACCUCCAAUAGAAAAAUAAUUUGAAAAUGUGCCUUCUGGUGAGAUCCAUCAAGUUUAAGGUCACAUUUUUGGUUAAAAGGCAGACACUGAUGCUAUUCAUUAAACUGAAAAAUGGCUUGUUUUCCACUAAUAUUGAAAUAAACUCUGGAUGAAUGUUAAGUCAUGCUGGCAUGCACUUAUAUAGAAAGCAAAAGGAAAACACAGAUAUAUUUAAUUUGGACAUGUAAAGUCAACCGAGUUUCAGGUCUUAUUUGAGACAGAGGAAUUGGGAAGAAUGGCCAAAACAAAUGUGAACAGUUAGAAGUUCAUUUGCCUUUUUUUCAGAGACUGAGAGCAUUUAAAGGAGGAUUCUAAGAAUUCUUAGACCCAUUUGUGGUUUUUCAAACACUGGUACCUACGAACAAGGACUUGACAGCAUGUAAUUUAUUCCCCAGCCCCCUGUUCCUUGGGAUUUAUAUGAAGAAGUAAAUCAAAAUCCAGUAUUUGACUCUGUGUUUAAGUAACCCCAUAACGCACAUAUCCUAUCCCACAUAACACAGCAAACAUGAACAAAACCCAAGUUUAUUUGGGUUGUCAUAUUAUGCUGAUGGUCUCUAUACCUUGAUCAUAUAGAUAGAAACUGAAAUCAAAGAUUCCUUGCACAUUAUUCACAUUUAAAUGGGAUUUCCCAUGGCUUUAUUUUUUCUCAUAUAAUGAGUGAAUGAAGAAUAUGAGGCCAUUAGGGCUGCCCUCACCUUGUUUAGGUUUCCAAUUCACAUUUAUGACUUUCUAUUUUCACUGUGAAAGAUCUGUAAAUUGGAAAGGUAUGCAUGUAUCUCAUUAAAAAAAAAAAAAAAAGUUCCCCAGCUCUAGCAACACUCAGCAAACCUCCAAAGAAUGCAAGUUUGGAACAUAAAUAUUUUAAGGCCCCAUAAAUUUGGCAGUGAAUGCUUUUCUCUCCUUUAAUACCAUGUUUGUUUCAUUCCAAUCUACUGCCACAAUUAUAUUUUCCAAAAUGGUUUUUAAUACAAUACACAAUUAUUUCAUACAAGGUUGGGCUGGUCGCCUCAUUAAGUCUGCUAAGAUCAGACCUCUUGUGACCCCACAGAUAUUCUUAUACUUAUUCCUAAUUAAAAUGGCCUCCUAAAUUGUCCUAAGUUCAUCACUGCAAAUAACAAGCUACGCAGAAGAGGCACAGUUGGAGAGUUAGUGGGGAUAGAUGACCUGGUCCCCAAACCUCAAGCUGGGCCAGCUGUGGUGUGAACACAGUAGUGUUCUGCCACCUGUUGGCUCUGCUUACACAUAACAAGGUAUUGAUGUCCCUCACAGCAGUGCAGUAACCCUCUCUGACCCCUGUCCCAGUUCAUCACCCCCAAGAGAAAAGAAGAGGCCUCUGAGGAUUCCAGGCCUCCCGACUUUCCCAUCAUUCAUUGCCUUGGCCACAUGUUUCUUCUGCUAAUGUUAAAAAUUUAUGGCUGAGCACAUUAAGGGCAGCGCUAGUCUUUCCCUUCUCCUGGAUUAUUUCAGUGUUUCCUGUCAUAAGGAAAUCCAAGAAGACAUGUCCUCCGUGGAUUGUGUGUGACAGUAUCUGCUUAUAUCUCAGGAAUCUGAGGCAUGAUGGAUAAACUGUCAGUUUUGAAGGAUGAUGUUUUCUCCAUAUUUCCAUUAUGAACCAGGCUGUCAUCUCCUAAUAAAUUUCUUGCAUUGGUAUCAAUUUAUUUUUACAAGCAGAGGGUCUGAUGUAUUUGGGAAAGGCAAUGACAGCAGAUCUGGCCCAGCUUGACAGAGCUGGCUUCACCUCAUUUUGGAAAACUACUUUGGUUCCAAGGACAGAACUUGACCUGCAGCCCUUUAGAAUAAAAAAAAACGCUGUGAGAGGAAGAGAGACACAUGAGGCAAGUUCCUUCUUUUAAGCCAAAAUAAAUCAAGCCUCUAGGACUACCAUGACAUAAUAUUAUUUCUAAGACAGUCCUACAAAUCCAGAUGAGAAACGCCAUAUGUAGCUCUUUACUGAAGACACAAUAACACAGUGAAUCUGCAUGAGUCCUGAUUAUGACAGGGUUACAGAUAUCACCACUUUUGCUCUCCAAAGGAUCUUAGUGCUCUUGUGCUCAACAAGUGAUAAGCGAAGUCCAUACAUGUCAUAAACACUUAAUUACAAAGUGUGUGCAUGUCCGUGCUGUGGUUUUCUCUGAAUGGUGGAAAGCUAUACAGCUUGAGUCUACGUCCUGAAAAAUUCAAAGUCUAAUUGAAGAGAUAAAGUGCUAUACAAAAUUAGACCAAAGUACAAAGAAAAAUCAUAUGCACUGUUUAAUGAGCACUAGUUAAGACCAUUGUUUCUUAUUUUAUUUAACCUUGACCUUUAUUGGGAAGAGAAGAAAUAGAGCAUCUCAGUAGUGAAGUCAGUGGCCACUGGCGGCACACUGCCUGAAUUCGUGGCCCAAUUGUGCCAUGUACCAGUGACCCGAGAACCUAAGUGAGAUCUGUCAGAUUUCUUAAAUUUACCAACCCUCUGUUUCCCCAUCUAUGAAACCAAAUUGGGGACUAUAACUCCUUUGUGGUGGUUUUGUGAGGAUUGAAUAAAUUAGUACUUGGAAAUUGGUUAAUAUAGUCCAAGAUCCAAGGUAAACUCUCAUUGAGGGUUAGCUAACUUCAGUCACCCUCCUCCUCCCAACUCCUAUUAUCAUUACAUUUUACAGCCAAAAAAGGUGAGGCUUUAAGAAUUUAAGUCUACAGCCCAUCACACAGUCAGAGGGCCCCUGCUGCAAAUCUUGGUCAGUAAGGCAUCAGAGCAGAGAAGAGGGAGGACCAAGUUCAAGUUGUGGACAAGUCAAGGACAGAAUUCUGGAAGCCUAAGGAGUUUUUCCUUACCAUGCUCUCCAUUCCUGGCCCUUUUCUCCAUGGCUCCAAACAUGUGUCACAUGUUACUUGACAAGGGUCAUAUGUAGUGGUGUAAGUGUACUGGUAAAUGUUUGGCAUUCAGGGCCUGGGGACGGGGAGUAUAUGCAUAUAUAAUAUUAGCACAUAAAUGUAUUGUAAUUUUUAUUCUAUAAAGAAUAUGUAGAAUAGGAUUGACAAAAGUCAAAUAUAUAAUACUGUAUUAUAACGUCUAUACAACCAUUUAAUUCUAGAAGCUAUUUAAAUUUUUUUUAUUCUAAUUAGUUAUACAUGACAGUAGGAUGCAUUUUGACACAUCACACAUAAAUGGAGUAUAACUUCUCCUUCUUCUGGUUGUACAUGAUGUAGUAUUACACAGGUCAUGUAUCAUAUAUACACAAAGAGUAAUAAUGUCCAAUUCAUUUACUAUCGUUCCUACCCCUAUACCCUCAUCUCUGCCUUCACUGCCCUCUUUCUAAUUCGGAGUACCUCUAUUCCCACCCCCUUAUUGUAAAUUAGCAUCUGCAGAUAAGAGAAAACACUUAGCUUUUGUUUCUUUGGAAUUGGCUUAUUUUGCUUAGCAUGACAUUCUCUAGUUUCAUCCAUUUACCAGCAAAUGCCAUAAUUUAAUUCUUCUUUAAGGCCGAGUAAUAUUCCAUUGUGCAUACAUACCACAAUUUCUUUAUUCAUUCAUCAGUUGAAGGGCACCCAGGUUGGUUUUAUAGUUUAGCUAUUGUGAAUUGAGCUGCUAUAAACAUUGAUGUGGCUGCAUCACUGUAGUAUGCUUACAGCUACUACAGGGACUUUGGCCAAACUCUUCAAUUUAUAUCUAUAGUUACAGUAUAAUUGAUGAACAAAUGUAAUUCUAACAGCAAUUCAGGUUGAUAUUUUUUCUUUUAUCUUAAUGAGUACAUCAGAGCUUCACUUAUUUGUCAAUACUACAAACAACUGCUUCAGUCAGUCAGCUAAUAAUAGUUUUUGAGUACUGGAAAAAUAUUUUCUCUGCUAUUCACAAUUAAUGGCUAUAGAUAUAACAUCCUAUUCAGCUAAGUCUGCAUCAUUAAUAUUUUUUUUCAUUACUAUUUUUAAACUUUCUUUUGUUUUGUGGUGUUGGAGAUUACAUCCAGGGCCUCAUGCAUGCUAGGUAAGCAAUCUACCACUGAGCUACAACCUGAAGUCCUUCAUUCAUUUACUUAUUUGUUUAAUCUUGGACAAGUUCUCACUGAGUUGCGCAGGCUGCCUUGAACUUGUGGUCUUCCUGCAUAGCUGGUAUUACAUACAGGCUUGCACUGGCCAGGCUUCUCCAUUACUUUCUUAAGUAUAGGAAAUAAACAAACCAAUAAAUCAAGACCUAAUUAUUGUAUAAUUUUCUGCUGCAGAUACUCCCACAGUGACUGAUGUGAAGCUAUCACAGUGGUAUCAUUGAAGUGUUGGAGAGAGAGAGUAUAUCAUUUUAUAGUAUUUCCACCAUAUAGGUACCAAAGACUCAAAGCAUAAAUAAUAGUGAAUUUUUGUAAAAGAACUAGUGAUAAGUUUUUGUGUAUGUUAUCUUGCUUUUAACAUAAUUUAUUCAAUUCUGAGCAUAUACAGCUUAAUUUUAAGUGGUGUCUGUGUUUAAAAACUGGCUUACAAAAUUCCUGAAAAGUUAAUCGUUGGAUAUUUUGAGCAAUUACAUGUUGAUUCUAGCACAUUCCAGUUAUAUGAACCCCCAAACCAAGGAUAUCAAAAGCACUUAUGUCUACAUUACAUAGCUCAUUAUUUUAUUUAUUAAUAAAUAGGUGGACAGUUUUGUUAUAUACUAGAACACAAAACACAUUGAGUCUUAACAUGAAUGGAAUCAUAUCUCUCUACAAACAUAUUGCCUUCCUUUAUAUGGAUACUAAAUAAAUCCAUAAGGGUUUUCUUUGCUAGGUUUAUUUGAGCAUCAUAUUUAUCGUAGAAUGGUUGGAAUUCAAGCUAUGAAAUCAAAUUGUGUCAUUCUGAAUUCCAAAUUUUUCACAUACUUGGUGCUGUUGGAUAAGUUAUAUAACCUCUCUCUAAAUCUCAGUCAUCUUAUCUGUGAAAUGGUAAUUGUAACGGUACUUGCAUUAUAAGAUAGUUGAGAGGGCUAAAUGAAGCAGUGUAUGUCAAAUGCCUGCAUGUUAAUUAAUGUUCAAGAAAUGUGAUGCACACAUGCAGAUUGCUUGGAGGUUAUAAUAUAUUACAUUCUGAUUAUGUUCUAUGUUUGAACAUAUUAUCCAAACUAAAUCCUUAGUGGAAAUUAAUUAGCAGCAAUAUUGGUUCGUGCUUAAUCAUACAUCUUUGGAUAAAGAUGAUUGUUUCUAGCUGGGCAUGGUGGCGCACGCCUGUUAAUCCUAGCAGCUAGAGAGGCUGAGGCUAGAGGAUCCCAAGUUCAAAGCCAGACUCAGCAACUUAGCAAGGUCCUAAACAACUUAGCAAGAUCCUGUUUCAGAAUUAAAAACUGAAAAAAAAAAAUUAAGUGCGCAUGUGGCUCAGUGGUUAGGCACUGCUGAGUUUAAUCCCUGGUUUGUGUGUGCGUGUGUGUGUGUAUGUGUGUAUAUUUCAAUCUCUUACACACAUGAGAUUGUUUCUGAAUGGAGUGUUCUGCCUUUAUUUAAAUUACCUAUAUAAUGGGUAGAUUUCUUCUUAUUGACAGACUUUUCCCAUUACUUUCAGAAGUUGCUUUGCUAGAUGCUGUUAGGUAUUCACUGUUAAUUUAGGAUUAGCCCCUAACAUCUUGAAGUCUACAGUUCUGAUGAGGGACCAGAGGAGCCCAGCUGACAGUAUUGUGAGGCAGAGUGGAGUAAUGCCAGGAGAGGGCGAUUAUGAGAUCCUGGGGGCUCUGAUGCAGAGAAGAUGGGGCGCUGGGGAAGCACCUUGGGCUCCAGGGUCAGGGUGAGUUGGUCUCUAUUCACAGAGUUUUAGAACUGAACAUCUCUUAUACGUUAGAAAACCGUUAGCACUUAGCACAUAUUCAGGAGAUACUAACUCCAGUCUCCUACUUUGUUUCCUUUCUUUCCUGUUUCCUUUUCUUUUCUCCUUGACUCCUAAUGUUCCUCUCUCCUUCCAACUCUCCUCAGCUUCUGAUGAGAGAGACUGGAGAGGUCCUUGAGGGAAAUUGUGUUGUUUCCUAUCAGCCCUGUUAUAUAAGUACAAAUUUAAUUUUUAAUAUUUUAAAUUGUAAGAAGCAGGGACAUACUACAUGUUAAAAAAGUUUAAAAAAAAAAACUUAAUCUAACAUUCCUAUCAAACAUCUUUUUAUCUUUGUUUAACUUCAGUGGAUUGCAAAUUUUAUAUGAUUAAAAAUCACAAUAAUGUGAUUUUAAUAUUUACUGUGUUCACUUAAAAUUAUGUAAGAAACACUUUUGCACAUUUUUUUUCUUGCCUUCAUAGUUAUAGUUUUGUUUACCUAAGAAAAUUUGAUAAUUACUGUAAUGUCCAAUAUGUAGAUUCUUUUCAUUUUUUUCCGUUAUAUAAGUAUCUGCUAAGUACCUUUUGGAAGCCGCUGCAUUGUACGUAGUUCUUUUACUUCUCUCACAGCACAAGAUUGAUUGAGUAAUAGCCCACGGAAUGCCCAAACCACAGUCUUUCUUUCCUUUUUCCUUUCCUGUUUCUUUUCCUUCCUCCCCCUCUUUCUUCCUGUCUCCUGGCCUUACAUAAAUAUUUGUGAACUACUAACUCUGAGCUGGUUGCCCAUUUGGGCACUGGAAGAGUUGGGUCCCCUAUAGUUCAGACAAAAACAAAUGAAAAACUUCAGGCUAUUGCCUUCAAAAGGCUUUCUUAUGCCAGACAGGCCUUUGGCACAACCUGCUGCAUCUCUGACUGACUUCUGACUUCUCUUCCUCUUCACCGUCCUCAAUCAGCUUAACCCAUGGAGUCCCAAGUUUUCAAUUCUAUGUAAGAGGAUGGAUUAAACAUUCAGCUUGGACUAGGCUCUUCUUUCUGCCCUCCUGGGCCUCUUGGUUAUGAAUUUACCCUCAUUUCUACUUUGCCUCUUUCCUCCUCCCAAUUUCUUGGCUUCUGUCCCUGGACAAGAUGUCUGUUCCUGCUUCCAAGUCUGUCUGUCAUUCCCAGCCCAGUCUAUCUGCCAUUGGCACUUUCCAUCUUGCUUCACACUCAAGGCCUGGAGCCUUCAUCUGUGAGCUGGGCAGGAAGCCUCAGCCCUCAGGCUGGCUCUUAGCUUCCCUCACCCAAUCCUGCAGGCGAUGGCAAGUCUUUAUCCUCCUAUUCUGAAAAGUUGGCUCAUUGCUUUAGUUGAAUUAGAAUAAUGAGUAUAUCAUUUUAUCUUUGACUUUAAAAUGUUUUAUUCCUUCCAUCAUCAUGCAUUGACUUCCCCUCUCUCUUUCUGGUAGUAGUUGGGUGUGAGUGUUAAUAGUAGAGUUUAUUUCAGAAAGUUCACGUAGUUAAUUUAGAAAACUCUCCACUAGAAUGGAUGAGAAACAAGUAAGAGCAUGACUACUGUGACAGGUGUUCAGGUGUCAUAACCAGGGGCAGGGGCAAUGUUCUGUGUGAAUUCAGAGGAUGAGAUUCAUUCAGAAGAUGAGGUUGGUGACUCUUCAUAACAAUUAUUGAUCCUGGUGUGAUUUUUUUUUGAUGCAUCAAGAAUGCAACCAAGGUCCUUCUUUUAUUUUUCAUGAUAUUUUCAGCAUGAGGUCUGGCAUAUAGUAGGUGGUUACUAAACACUUGAUAAAUAAUGAGUGAUGUUUUUCCUUAUGAGAGAAAAAUAAAUGUUUUUAGAAGAGUCAGCUUUAUACCAUGGUUUCAGGGAAUGAAUUGUGAUGAAAAGUGAAGAUUGCUUUUACUUGAAAGAGGCUGACAAAUUUCCCAGACCCGGGAUCACUUUAUGCGGCGUAUGAUUUAAGGGUGAGUGAGCGUGCCAAAGCGCUCCACUUGAGCUGAGUGAUGGGGAAUGAGUUGUGGAGCUGUGGUCUUAGAUGGUAUUUUGUGAAAAAUAGUGGGAGAUUUAUGGCUAUUAAACAACUUUGUAGCUGCCCCCUUCUUGUUUUGAAGCCUGCCAAAUCUCUCCUCCCAUGGUCUAUAUCAUGUUCCUUCAGCACAUCCAUGAUGUCCACACAACAUCCUCUGGACUGCAGUUUUCAUUGUGUGCACCCGUUUUGAAGGGCUGGGAAGGGCUUGGAAUUGCAUGCAUUUAUCUGAAGACAUUUGUUUUCUGUAAUCGCCGGUGACAUGCUCACUUUGCAAGUCUCUCUUGGAGCAUCCUGUGUUUUCACAGAAUCCUUCCCAGUGAGGUUGCCAAAAGUUCUCCCGUCCUUCCUGCAUUAUGGAAAUUGCAGAGUGCAGUCUAUUAGGGACUAUUACUAUUAUUGAUGUGAGACUAAAGAAAGUAUUAGUAACUCUUCAAUUCAGUGUAUAUCUUCCACUGUGAACAGGAGAAGAAUGAAAAUGCUGUCAAUACGCCUUGGCAGAUCUUCAGCAGGAGGGCUUGUGAGGCAGGAGGGCUACUUCAAGCCUGGGCACCGAGGGGACACACAUUUAUCAUCCUCAGCUUUGUUCCAUCUUACAUGUCACAAUCAGCAGCUCAAGGAAAAGCAGAAAUAGGGUAUUUCAUCUAAAAAAUCCAACCAGAGAUGGCUUUCAGUCUAUGUUACACAACUACUAGACAAUGGUUGGAGGAAAUAUGCUGUCAGUAUGGGUUCGUGUUUCCAUAGGAAUGCAUGCAUCCGAGGAGAAAUGGAGUUAUUGUGUUUUCAAAUUUCAUAUUUCAAGGAAUUUUGAAAACUAGGGAAGAUUAAAAAUUAUGAGCACAGAAGUAUAAGCUAAAGCAAUGGGCACGUUGUGAAGAAAACUUAAGAUGAGAAAAACUUGCUGUAGAAGAAGAUCUAGGUGAAGGUCAUCUAGGUAAUGGUAUCUGGUACCUGGGGAAGUAGUAAUGUCAUCUUAAUACAAAGAGACACUUCUUUACAUGCUGUUAAAUUAAAUGAGAAACUUAAUAGAGUUUUUUUUUUAAAUGAACACACAUAGCUACCAUAUCAAAUUUGUAGUUUCUAACAUUUUGAUGUCAUUGUUUCAAGAAUAUUCUUUAAAUGAAUAAAACCAGAAACCAUCAUAUAUAGAAAUGAAACUCCUCCACAUCCCAUUAGCCCCAGUCCUGUUACCCUGCCCAAUCAUUUACAUGAAUUUAGUGUCUGUUUUAUAAUUUUUGGAUGUUUCCAUACAUGUACAAAAUCAAAGAACUUCAUAUUUACAUAAAUAAUAUUAUACUGAAUUUAUCAUUUGGAAACUUAAAAUUAUGUAAGAUGUACUUGAUAAAUAACGACUGAUGCUUUUUUUAAAUUUUUUAUUGUUGGUUGUUCAAAACAUUACAAAUUUCUUGAUAUAUCAUAUUUCACACUUUGAUUCAAGUGGGUUAUGAACUCCCAUUUUUACCCCAUAUACAGAUUGCAGAAUUACAUCAGUUACACAUCCAUUGAUUUACAUAUUGCCAUCCUAGUGUCUGUUGUGUUCUGCUGCCUUUCCUAUCCUCUACUAUCCCCCCUCCCCUCGCUUCCCUCCCCUCCCCUCCCCUCUUCUCUCUCUACCCCCUCUACUGUCAUUCAUUUCUCCCCCUUGUAUUAUUUUUCCCUUUCCCCUCACUUCCUCUUGUAUGUACUUUUGUAUAACCCUGAGGGUCUCUUCCAUUUCCAUGCAAUUUCCCUUCUCUCUCCUUUUCCCUCCCACCUCUCAUCCCUAUUUAAUGUUAAUCUUCUUCUCCUGCUCUUCGUCCCUACUCUGUUCUUAGUUACUCUCCUUAUAUCAAAGAAGACAUUUGGCAUUUGUUUUUUAGGGAUUGGCUAGCCUCACUUAGNUGAUUGGGUUGUUUGUUUUCUUAUUGUCUAAUUUUUUGAGUUCUUUGUAUACUCUGGAUAUUAGGGCUCUAUCUGAAGUGUGAGGAGUAAAGAUUUGUUCCCAGGGUGUAGGCUCCCGACUGAUGCUUUUUUUACUCUUUAUAAAUUUUGCAUUUUUACUCUUUAUAAAUUUUAGACCUCUUCAAAAUGAGAUGAUAUAUUUCAAUAUAGAUAUAUCAAGUUAUUGCUCUUAAAUGGUAAAUAUUAUUCUGCCAUAUGAAUAUACAACAUUUUAUCUAUCCUUUUUCCUUACUGACAUUUAAGUUAUUUCCACUUUUUUUUUCCCUGUUACCAAUGAUGCUUCAGUAAACAUAGUAAACUUGCAGACCUGUGUGAAAUUCUCCAAGUGGAAUCAGUGCACCAAUUUUCAGUUUUAUUAGAUGCAGCUAAACUACCCUCCAAAGUAGUGAACCAGGGUACAUUCCUACUGGCAAGGGAUGAGAGGGACAGUUUAAUUUUCUUUCAUUCUCACUAGCACUUGUUGUUAUGGGACUUAAAACUUGGCCAAUAGGAUCAGUGGAAAAACUGUACCCUGUUUUAAUUCUCAUUGCCUUUAGUGCUGGCAAAUUUGAGCAAAUUCUAUGUUUAUUAUCUGUUCAGGUUUUCUCUUCUUUGAAAUCCCUGACAUUUCCUUUGUCCAUUUUUUUUUCCUAUUUUUAUUGGCUUAGGGACAUUCUUUAUGUAUCCUGGAUACUAGUAUUUUAUUGUAAAUGUGGCAAAUAUCUUCUAACAGGAGAUAAAAGUAAAAUGUAAAAAUACAAAUCCCUGCCAAUAGGCAGUUAGGAAAAUUGGCAAGGAUUCAAAGAUUUGAGAACCUUUAUAGUCCUGAAGAUUCAGAGCUGCCCCAAUUUUCUUAUUCUCAUUUUAGGCAUCUCUUCUUAGUCCAGGUAAAAUAAAACAUCAUGUCCAUUUUUCUACUUAUGCUUUUAUUAUCUCAAACUCAAUAUACUGUGGGUAUACUGCUUCGGUUGCAAAGUCAACUCUUUAUGCUUUGGCAGACAGUGUGCAAAUUUAAGACGCGUUCUUGUCCACUUCUUUCAUAUGAUAAUUUUGCCUUUUUGAAUCGUGCUUCUAAGCAUAAGAUUCAGAAAACCAGUGUGAACAUCACUAUUGAAAUGAGUGAAUAGGAUUCGUUUUGAUAAAAGCCAGGUCACAGAGUUGGUGGUUGGAACUGAUUUGUAGUUGUUUUUCUAAACAUUGAGUCAUGAAAGUUCCACCAGAAAGCAUCGCUUGCAGAAUUAUUCUUUUCCUGAAUUCUUUUCCAUGACUUGAGCUUAUAAAUGGACACUAAGCCGAAGAAGAAUUAAGUGCUGGGCAUAGAAUGAUGACCACACAACCCAAGCCACACCAUUUCUGACCUGUUGACAGUUGGAAAUAAAACUAAAUAGCUCUUUUUUUUUCUCUUGGUCACAGAAUUCUAAUGUUUUGCACAGUCCAAGGUAUUUAUUUAGAGGUAGGAUUUCCUCCACUAAUUUUGGGAAAAGCUGUCAUCAAGUUGUCAACAGCCCACAUAGAGAUUAAAAGUACUAAAGAAUACCAUAAUAGAGCAACUUAAAACUUAUUUUGGAUUUUAGGAUUUUUUUUUCCUUUCAAUAAUGAGGUAGAACAUGGACAAAAAGUUAGAGCCUGUUAUAGAGGAAGUAUGUAUAUCUAGGUAAGGAUGGUCUCCAUUCCAGGACCCCGUAUAUCCUGCCCUAAGCAUUAAAUAAGUACCGUAGUAUUUAGAGCACUGUCAUUAUAUUUCAUUAAUCAUGUUGCAAUUACAGAAGAUCUGGAAUCCCAAAGAGACAAGUGGUGAUUAUAGUAUUUUAACUUUAAUUUUAAUCCCACUUCUGACCCUUUCACAUUCUUGCAACACCCUAAAUGUCUAGUGAUGUAGUAUAUAACAAAUCUUAUGCACUUUUUAAAACAUUAUUGUUGGUAACUGAGCUUUUGCCUUUCUGGAUCCAACACCCUUGGAUCAAGCUUUAAACACCAUAUAUUUGCCUUAUAUUUGUCUUUGAGCUGGUGUGAAGAAAUGUUGCCUAAAGCUGUUCCUACCCAGGGACAUAGCUUCUGGUUUCACUCCAUUCAGAACUCUUUCUAUAAGUCUCUACCGAAAGCUGCUUAAUCAAACAUCUCAAAUGUCAGAAAUGAAGUUUAAAGGAUUUUUCUAGCAAGUAGGUAUAAUCUCCUACUUAGUUUUGAUUCCCAUAAUGUAGGUAAUCUCUUUGGAGAAAAGACCUGCUUCUAGCAGGGCAAAUAUAUCCCGUAGAAUGCAUUUCCUAUUCCGGAAAGAAAAAUAGAGCAUUAAUGAAAUUUACUUUUUCAUGGAGCUUGGAAAGGUUGUAAGCUUAGGAUUUUGAUCCUAGCAGAUGUUCUUUUUUGGAUAUUAAGAAAAAAAAAAGUUGCAUUUGAUUUAGAAAUCUCAGUUAAGAGUUGCAAUGGUUGUUGGUUGUUAUAGGCAGCUAUAUUCUGAAGAUGACACACUGGUCAUCUGAAGUGUAUGACAGCCAACCCAACAGCUAACUGUCUUCAUACUUUAACCCACAAGGAUGUGGAGUUCAGAAGGGAGAGAGUUAAUAGUCAGGACCAUACUAUAUCAGUUCUAUGGUCAAGGAGCUAUUAUAUACAAUACAAAGCAUCAUCCAAGAUGCACUUCAGGUCAUUUUCUUUUAGGCUUUAGAAUAACAAUAUUUUGUUGAUAACUAUUAUAUAAGUUGAACAUCCCUAACCCCCAAAUUCAAAAUCAAACACAUUCCCAAAUCCAGACCUUUUUUUUAGUACUGACAUGACAUCACAAGUGGAAAAUUCCACACCUGACCUCCGGUGAUAAGUUGCAGUCAAAAUGUAGGCAUAUUUAAAAUGUUGUAUAAAAUUAUCUUCAAUGUGUGCAUAGGGUAUAUAGGAAACAUAAAUGAAUUUUGUAUUCCGACUUGGAUCUCAUUGCCAACAUAUCUCAUUGUAUAUAUACAAAUAUUCAAAAAUAUUUUAAAAAAUCAGAAAUCCAAAAUAUUCUAGUCCAAAGCAUUUUGGAUAGGUUAUGCUGAACCUAUAUCCCAAACCCAGGUCUCAGAUGGAUUUCUCAGUGCUGUCAUUAAACUUAGCCAGAAGCCAAGUUGCACAGCCUGUAACAAUUUAUGUCCUUCCCUAUGGUGAUUUCAUGCUGCAGAGUUUUAUAUCUUCCACUUCCUCUGCCUCAUGCCACGGGGCCAUGUAUACCAGCCCUGCUUUUCCUCGUCCACCCUGGGGGCAAACUUAGCCUCUGCACUGGUUUCCAUAGAAAUCUGCUCACCGACUGCACUUGCUUUGUGGGAAUUACUGGGAGAAGACCUGUGAUAAAAAGAUCUAAGUCUAUACUAUUUCCUGCUUUUAGCCUCUCCUUUUCCUCCUCUUCCUCCUUUAAGUUCAUCCCAACAAAGAAACCAGCCUCUUGUCAUGGUGUCAUUUCACAGUGCUGAGGCCCUCCAAGCUUUGUACCCUACCCUAUACUUACAGAAUUUUAUGUCAACAAAGACCACUCUUGCUUCCUAAGAAGAGUCUCUGUGGAUAAAUUCAGAUCCCAAGGGACAUGUUUGGUUAACAAGGGGAUUUUGCAUUGGAUGUUGCUUCAUAUUGACAUUUAUUUUUAUCAUGCAGGCUUCCAGUGGGGACCUUGCUGCCUCUGCCUCUCCUGAGAUGCACCACUACACACCCCUGCCUUCUGCUUCCAGAGAACUCACCAGUCACAGAGGUGGGACCUCAAUUUUUUAUUGCUUUCAGAGGUUG